rnacentral:misc_RNA from 1 species
GAUGAAGAACGCAGCAAAAUGCGAUAAGUAAUGUGAAUUGCAGAAUUCAGUGAAUCAUCGAAUCUUUGAACGCACAUUGCGCCCGCCAGUAUUCUGGCGGGCAUGCCUGUUCGAGCGUCAUUACGCCCCUCAAGUCCCCUGUGGACUUGGUGUUGGGGAUCGGCGAGGCUGGUUUUCCAGCACAGCCGUCCCUUAAAUUAAUUGGCGGUCUCGCCGUGGCCCUCCUCUGCGCAGUAGUAAAACACUCGCAACAGGAGCCCGGCGCGGUCCACUGCCGUAAAACCCCCCAACUUUUUAUAGUUGACCUCGAAUCAGGUAGGACUACCCGCUGAACUUAAGCAUAUCAAUAAGCGGAGGA